GGUUAAGCGACUAAGCGUACACGGUGGAUGCCCUGGCAGUCAGAGGCGAUGAAGGGCGUGCUAAUCUGCGAUAAGCGCCGGUAAGGUGAUAUGAACCGUUAUAACCGGCGAUACCCGAAUGGGGAAACCCAGUGUGACUCGUCACACUAUCAUUAACUGAAUCCAUAGGUUAAUGAGGCGAACCGGGGGAACUGAAACAUCUAAGUACCCCGAGGAAAAGAAAUCAACCGAGAUUCCCCCAGUAGCGGCGAGCGAACGGGGAGGAGCCCAGAGCCUGAAUCAGCAUGUGUGUUAGUGGAAGCGUCUGGAAAGGCGCGCGAUACAGGGUGACAGCCCCGUACACAAAAGCGCAUGUGCUGUGAGCUCGAUGAGUAGGGCGGGACACGUGGUAUCCUGUCUGAAUAUGGGGGGACCAUCCUCCAAGGCUAAAUACUCCUGACUGACCGAUAGUGAACCAGUACCGUGAGGGAAAGGCGAAAAGAACCCCGGCGAGGGGAGUGAAAAAGAACCUGAAACCGUGUACGUACAAGCAGUGGGAGCACCCUUUGGGGUGUGACUGCGUACCUUUUGUAUAAUGGGUCAGCGACUUAUAUUCUGUAGCAAGGUUAACCGUAUAGGGGAGCCGUAGGGAAACCGAGUCUUAAC
rnacentral:rRNA from 1 species